CAUCCUAAAAUCGUAUUUUGGUAUCCAUUUUAAAUCUAAAGAAAGGUAGGAAAGUGUGAGAUCAAGAUUUAAAGGUGGAUCUGGGUUUGUUUGAUGGGAUGAAAAAAAAAAUCCUGCAGGUUGCAGCAAGGUUGGGUUUCCCACAGUAAAUGGGAGCAAUGAACUUAAAGACCAGAAAACAAAAGAGAUUCCAAAUCAGAAUUCUACAGAUGGCUCUAUUAAUUACAGACCGACCUGCAAUCUGUGUGCUCUCUUCUGAUAUAUUUAAAUUUUAGGUGUUUGAGAUCUGCUGUUGUAGUUGUGAGUCGGGCAGGAUGUGAGCCCAAGGAUCUCUGCAAUGACGAAAUCUGCUGGUGGGAGUGCAGUGGUCAUUAGCACCGAGCUCCUGCUUCCCCAAAACGGGAAUGAGAGAACUGUGGGCUUGGAAACGUUGAAGAGGCAAUCUCGGCAUCUUUAGUUGCCAGAUGCAACUCACUGUGAACAUGUGAACGUUUGUCCUGCGUGCCUGUGUAAGGGUAGAAGUGCUCAAGAUGGGGACAGAGCAAAGCUAACUUACAGUGUGACACUUGCUUUCACACCUACUCUGCUUUCAUUAAUCAAACUGACUUGUUCUAGGCUACUUCAGAUGAGCUGUGAUUCCUGCAGUGCCAGCUUAACGUGGUACCACAGAGCACUGCCAACCCUUCUGCUGAGAGCUGGUGUCCACAAAGCCCAGCUGAAAAUGCCUGCACUUCGGCUGCUUCAACACAGAACCUGCUCACUUCGGCUGACACCUGAAUUUCAGCUGCCUCAGGGCAAGAAAACAACUGGCUGAGUCCAGCAGUGCUUUCAUCCACCACAAGAGCUUGCCUGGAUUAAUGGCAAAGAACAUCCUGGAAGACAUGGAGAGGUGGAGGAACUCUGCAUUUUGCAGCACUGAACCCUGAGCCAGGCUGGCACCUUCUGG